CCAUGCUCAUAAGUCAUAAGCAUACAGCAUAUAUUACUAUUGACAUUGAAAUCAAUUAGAUUACACAAUUCACUUAUAUAUUUGAAGUUAGUAUGCAGUUCGUGCGUGUGCGUUGUCUUGUAUGUCAUUGUUUUUUAACUUUUUUCUUUUAUGAUAUUCAUUAGUUAUUAAGACUAUGUCUACUUUUUUACCAAUAGAUCAACUCAUGAUGAUUUCAUUGUUUUUAAACUUCUAACGAGGUUUGAGGGUUAUUGUUGGAAACAAGGGGCUUUGUUGAUAGUUUAUAGCCCCAAGAGUAUUUUAGUAUUUACAUUUUUUUUGAAUCGUUGAUAAAACUUAUUUAUUAAUAAGAACUCAAAGUACAAUAGAGUUAUACAAAGAGAGCAAUAAAGAAGUUGUAAUCAAGGGAGUCUUGAGGGAUUCGGAGGUGCACCCAGACAUCUCAACUAGGUUGACACCCCAUAGCGCCAAUCAUCAUAUCUUGAGCAAAAACAUAAAAAUCAAACAAAGGUACAAUAUUGAAACGUCCAGCUUAUUACAAGGGUUCAGAAGACAAUACAGGUCUAGAAAAACAAAAAGAAACAAUAGGGAAGGCCCAAAAAUACAAUCUCAAAAUAAAGGCUAAACAAGGGCAAUCCUUCAAAAUGCAGAGAAGAGCUUCAGAGUGUGUAACUGCAAACAAUAAAUCUGAUGCAGCAAGUAUCAAGCAGGUUGAGUAAGAAAAGCAUCCUAGUUGAGGCAAUUGUCUUGGAUGGAAUAAUUAACGAACUCCUUUUUUAAGAAACACCAAGCUGCAACAUUAAGAUCUACUUCACACAUAAUUUCUACCUUUGAUCUUGCUUUAUCAUGGAAGAUGCGUUGAUUACGCUCGAACCAUAAUUCUGUGAGUAAAGCUUCUAACAAAGUCUCCCAUAUUAUACGAGGUUUUUUUGGAUAAAAUCGAACUCGACAGAAGUUGAACCACACUAGCACUUAGUGAACGAUAAAAUACCCAAUCUAAAUUGAACAAGGAGAAAAUCCUUACCCAGCAGAAGGAAGAGAUGGGGCAGUUCAAAAAAAUACGAGGAAGAUUCUCACUAGCCUUCAAACAUAGAGGACAGAUUGAAGGAGAGAGGCAUUUAUUGGGGGAUUUCUUUUGCAAAAUUUAUAAACUGUUGAGGGACUUGAAGACUGUAAUCCAAAUCAAAAUGUUAAUUCUCCGUGUGCUGCCUGAUUUCCAAAUUGUUGUGAAGAGACGUUUAUCCAUCGGGGAGGCAGGUUUUAGUUGAGAGCAGGGAUAGUAGUGAUUGAAAUUUUGCAAUUUCAUCUUUCAAACAUCUUCUGAAGGCUAAUGACAAAGAUGAAGUAUCAUGGUCCCAAUGAGCUGCUACUGAAUCUGCUACUGAACCCAAACAUCUUCUGAAGGCUAAUGACAAAGGU